rnacentral:rRNA from 1 species
UACGAAGGGGGCUAGCGUUGCUCGGAAUCACUGGGCGUAAAGCGCACGUAGGCGGACUCUUAAGUCGGUGGUGAAAUCCUGGAGCUCAACUCCAGAACUGCCUUCGAUACUGAGAGUCUCGAGUCCGGGAGAGGUGAGUGGAACUGCGAGUGUAGAGGUGAAAUUCGUAGAUAUUCGCAAGAACACCAGUGGCGAAGGCGGCUCACUGGCCCGGUACUGACGCUGAGGUGCGAAAGCUAGGGGAGCAAACGGG